rnacentral:rRNA from 1 species
UACGGAGGAUGCAAGCGUUAUCCGGAAUGAUUGGGCGUAAAGCGUCCGCAGGUGGCUGUGUAAGUCUGCUGUCAAAGCGCGAAGCUCAACUUCGUAAAGGCAGUGGAAACUACACGGCUAGAGUGCGUUCGGGGCAGAGGGAAUUCCUGGUGUAGCGGUGAAAUGCGUAGAGAUCAGGAAGAACACCGGUGGCGAAGGCGGCAUCCUGGACCGAUAUUGACGCUGAUGCGCGAAAGCCAGGGGAGCAAACGGG